GCAAUUUAGAAUGUCACGAAGUUAAGGUUCCUUCGAUUGGGGGACACGACUGCAAGUGAAGACUUAAACGAAUUCCUUUCUCAAGUAAGGUGGCUUCAUUGGCUUCACAUUGAACUCAAUCCAUCUUUUCCGACAAACGAUUUGCAUCUACCAAAGUUAAAGGUGUUGCAAUUGUCAUAUAGUUCGAUCACAGAUGAUUGGAAAGGAUGGAAUUCAAUCGUGGUGGCAAAGCGGUUGCAAGUUAUCCAACUUGAAUUUAUUGAUUCUUUAAGAUGUACACUUGAUCUCUCGGCUUUCAUAGAGUUAAAAAUUCUCAUCUUCAAGAAUUGCAAAGAACUGAUGCAGGUCCACCCUUCUAUUGGCAAAGUCAAGAGCCUUGUUUACUUGGAAUUGAGUGGUUGUGGCAGUCUCAAGGAGCUACCGAGAGAAGUGGGCGAAUUAGAAGAACUACGAGAACUUAUUUUAGAUAAUUCUGGUAUUACAAAGAUUCCUACGUCAAUUGGUUCUCUGAGGAUGCUAGAGAAGUUGAGUGCUUGUUGUUGUAGGUCAUUGAGAGAAAUCCCUAACUCAAUUGGGGAUUUACAGUAUUUGCAAUAUCUAGACAUUAGUGAGUCUUUGAUAUCCGACCUACCAGAAAGCAUUCGGAAUCUUUCUUCUCUCCAACACCUUGUACUAUGGAACUGUUACAAUCUUCAGUCGUUACCGGAGCUUCCUUUGAGCUUAGAAUACCUAAGAGCUUCUUAUCAAGGGUCCAUAUUGCCAGAGCUUUCUUACCUAAUCCACCUAGAAAGACUUGUUCUUUCAUGGAAACAAUCCACUUGAAUAAAUCUCAAUCCUUCAAGAACUUGAAUCUUCAUGUUGCCUCAACUAAUUUGUAGAGGCGACAAAGCAGCAAUUAUAAGGGAAACAAGCUGGAGCAAGGAGAACAAGAAUUUGCUAGUUAGUUUCUAUCCUGUUUGAUCCUGUUGUGGCCAUGGCAUAAUACUAUCACGUGAUUGAUCUGGGUCUGGCUAACUUUGUAGAGGAACUUCAAAUUUCAUAACAGAGACCCAUCAAAAAAAAAA